AACGAACGCUGGCGGCGUGGAUAAGACAUGCAAGUCGAACGCUGAUUUCAGGGUAGCAAUAUUCUGAAGUUGGAGUGGCGCAAGGGUGCGUAACACGUGGGUAAUUUGCCAUGAAGCCCGGAAUAACUCGCUGAAAGGCGAGCUAAUACCGGAUGUGAUGUUCGGGAGGCAUCUCCUGAACCUUAAAGCUGGGGACCGCAAGGCCUGGCACUUCUUGAUAAGCCCGCGGCCUAUCAGCUAGUUGGUGAGGUAACGGCUCACCAAGGCUAAGACGGGUAGCUGGUCUGAGAGGACGACCAGUCACACUGGAACUGAGACACGGUCCAGACACCUACGGGUGG
rnacentral:rRNA from 1 species